rnacentral:rRNA from 1 species
UAGUCAUAUGCUUGUCCCAAAGAUUAAGCCAUGCAUGUGUAAGUUUAAACACUGAGUGUGAAACUGCGAAUGGCUCAUUAAAUCAGUUAUAAUUUACUUGAUAGUCAAAUUUAUCAUUGGAUAACCGUGGUAAUUCUAGAGCUAAUACAUGCAAAAAGCCUGACGCGAGGAGGGCUGUGUUUAUUGGAUACGAAACUGAUGGCAGCGAUGCCUUGGUGAUUCACAAUAAUUUUACGGAUCGUAUGGCCUUGAGCCGACGACGAGUCAAUCAAAUUUCUGCCCUAUCAACUUUCGAUGGUACGGUAGAGGCCUACCAUGGUGAUAACGGGUAACGGGGAAUUGGGGUUCUAUUCCGGAGAGGGAGCCUGAGAAAUGGCUACCACGUCCAAGGAUGGCAGCAGGCGCGCAAAUUACCCAAUGCCGAUACGGCGAGGUAGUGACAGAAAAUAACGAUGCGGGGCCGCGAGGCUUUGCAAUUGGAAUGAGUACAAUUUAAAUCGCUUAACGAGUAACGAUU